rnacentral:rRNA from 1 species
CCUACGGGAGGCAGCAGUGAGGAAUAUUGGUCAAUGGGCGAGAGCCUGAACCAGCCAAGUCGCGUGAGGGAGUACUGCCCUAUGGGUUGUAAACCUCUUUUGUCGGGGAGCAAAGGCCGGACGUGUCCGGCUGUGAGAGUACCCGAAGAAAAAGCAUCGGCUAACUCCGUGCCAGCAGCCGCGGUAAUACGGAGGAUGCGAGCGUUAUCCGGAUUUAUUGGGGUUAAAGGGUGCGCAGGCGGAUUUUUAAGUCAGCGGUCAAAUCGUGGGGCUCAACCCCAUCCAGCCGUUGAAACUGGGGAUCUAGAGUGCGCGAGAGGUAUGCGGAAUGCGUGGUGUAGCGGUGAAAUGCAUAGAUAUCACGCAGAACCCCGAUUGCGAAGGCAGCAUACCGGUGCACAACUGACGCUCAGGCACGAAAGCGUGGGUAUCGAACAGGAUUAGAUACCCCGGUAGUC